UGAGAUAAACCAUGGAUUAUGGUUAAUAUUGUACUCAAUGCUCUAUAAGGGAUUACAAGGAGAUAACAUGGAUCCAAACUGGUGUGCAGAUCCUUACUCUUGUGUUACAUUAAUGGUUAUCGUGCGUCAAGUUAAUUGUGUCAUGCAUGGUAAUGCAAAAGAGGAAGGAUGUGGUCCACCAGAUCUGUUACUUAUUCUCUGAAAACCUUAAAAAUGUGUAAAUCACCCAGUUACAUCUUGUCUACACAUUGUCGGGGCAAGGAAAAUUACUUUUAGAAGGAGUCAUCUACCCUUCACCCUGUAAGUACGCUUUACUGGAUUGUUAAUGACAACCUAUAUUUUAUGAUAGAUUAAUGAUGUUUUUGGACUCAAUGCUCUAGUCAGGCUUCAGAGAAUAAAAGACAUAUGGAGCAAUAUAUUUAUAAUUAUGUGUGUACAAAAAAGGUGGAAAUGUGAUGGGUCUUUUAGGGAUCUGGGUUGAGAAGGCAUUGGGAAGCUGAGACCAAAACACCCAACAAAAAUGGUUCUAUAAUUUAUUCAAGGCAUGGUUGUCCAUUUGUUUCCACAUUCCAGUAUAAAUCAACACAUUUUCAACCGUUUUGAAAGAAUUCCAUUAUCUUUUUCCAUACAUCAGAUGAUAAUGUUGUCCAUUUUAUUUUAAAAUCAAUCAAUCACGUACAAACAUACAAAAAGGGGAACAGGAGACGAGAUCCAGGAUGCAGAGAUCCAAUGUCUACAUGUUCCAUGUUCCAACUCAGACAUGUCCUGUUAAGAAAAAUUCAGGUAGUCACCUGGGACCUAACCAGUACUACACAGACAGUUACGCCCCCUCCAAAGGCUCCUGGGUGAAGAGGAAAAGAUGAAGAGGGACAACCACCCAAGAUGUGUUCAUGUUUGCUUCUUAAUGGUUUCAAGUGUAUUUAUUCAACUGUUAUAAAGUGUUGUUGUUUAUGUCUCUAAGACUACAAGGUGGCACGACGAUGAGAGCUACAGGAAGUGUGUUGGUGGUCGUUAUCUGGUCUGUAACAGGAACUAUGGCAACAAAAUGUGGACAAACAAGCCUACUGAUGGUGUCUCCCACCAACCCAGUGUGGGGGCAGAAAGUGAUAUUGACCUGUAACGCCCCCUGUAGUCUGAGUGACAACCAAAACCACACCUACAUCGGGUACAAGAAUGGAUACCGUCUUGUCGAUUCCCCCCUCCGGCAAUACACUGAAACCAGUUAUUAUACACACAGUUACUCCUGUGCUGUAAAUGGUUCUGAGGAUCUCCGCUCUCCUGUAGUCUGUAUUCUGGGUAAGUCCUGUUUCAAUGUGACUUACACCCAUCAGACAAUCUCUGCCUUGAUCGGCUCAACAGUGGAUCUUCCCUGCACAUACCAACAUCCGAAUAACCAUACAGUCAUAGAAAUGAACUGGUAUAUACAAGGAGAACGUAAUAAGGCGCCAACAAACCUGAAAUCAUUGCCAGAGUAUUCAGGUCGUGUGAAGUACCUUGGAGAUAAUGUGAGUGACUGUACCCUGAGAAUCACAGACCUGAGAGAGACUGACUCAGCUGAGUACAAGUUCAGGUGUAAAUUCACCUUGAGUAACAAUAGGUUUGCAGAGUGGGGGUACAGCUUCUCAGGAACUACUCUGACUGUCUCAGGUAAUAUUGCACAAACAUGCUGAAAUCUAUGCUUGAAGUGACUGUGAGGAUAUAAAAUACUUUACUGUAUACAGUACAACUACUAAAACUAGUACUAAAAUGAAUAUUUGCAUAAAAUAAUAUUUAUACAAUACAUCAAUGAAGCUGCAAGAGUAUUUAAUAGACCACUGGAAAAUGGUAAUUUUUGAGAACAGCUGUGGUCAUUCUGAAAAUACAAAGAAUCAAAGAUCAUUCCCAGACAUCUGUCUCAACACCUUUAUAUCUUCCCUGGUUUCCACUAUGUUAUAUCCCUAAAUUGGAAUAGGACAUGCUCUCCUGUCUCCCUGGGUUCCCGUGGUUACAGUGGGGGCCGUCCUCACUGUUGCAGUUCUUCUAGUCACCAUCUACUGUACCCUGAGGAGGAGAUCUACAGGAGGAAGUGACGCUACAACAGACCCACAGAGAGUCCAUCCUGAUCCUAACAGUGACAUGUACUCAGCUCUGUCCCCCACAGAGUGUCCAUCCUGAUCCUAACAGUGACAUGUACUCAGCUCUCUACCCCACAGAGUGUCCAUCCUGAUCCUAACAGUGACAUGUACUCAGCUCUGAACAUGAGGAACAGAUCAACAGACUACGACACUCUAAAUACUCACCCACUGACCAACCAACAGAUAGAUGCAGAGCCCCAUGUUUAUGAGAACUUAUGAGAACCACCACAGAAUCUGGACUGAAGAGAACCACCACAGAACCUGGAUUGUAAAGAACUACCACAGAAUCUGGACUGAAGAGAACCACCACAGAACCUGGACUGAAGAGAACCACCACAGAACCUGGACUGAAGAAAACCAACACAGAACCUGGACUGUAUAGAACCAACACAGAACCUAGAUUGUAUUCGCUUACUUUCUGACUGUCUCUAUACUUUUGAAGAUGCCAUUCUCCUGAAUUAUUUUCCUUCACUGGAUUUCUCUAAAAGAAUAAGGUUGUUUUUGACAACCAUGUUCACAAUGGCUACUUCUACUAUCAUCAACUGGUGUCUCAAUUUAAUGUGAAGUAGUGUUUGGAACACAUUUACAUUUAAAUACAUUUUAGAGAAUUUGAAUACAAGCUUCACAUUCAUGUAAUUUUCCUGUAUUGUUCUACUUGUGCUAAUACAUACAGAGUACAGAAAAAUGGAUAGUCAGCAUAGACAGAAAGGUUUACAGUAAAUUACCAUUUAACAGUAAAAGCAGCUCAGGUUUGUCUUCCUGCUUCCCUCAUUGUCACACCAAGUACAAGAACAUGGUCCAGUACAGUGUCACAAAUCUCCUUAGAGAUUAUUGUUCUUCUUCCUCUCCCAUGUCCACCUCUCUUUCUUCCUCGUCCUCUACUUCUCUUUGACAUUGUCAUCCAUUGUUCCAAAACAAAGGUGAGUUCACCUGUGGUCCUUUUUAUUCAAGCCAUCUUCCUGAUCACCUCUUGACUAAGUAGCUAAUUAGUCAAGUUAAGUAACACACUGACAAUAGUGUUGAGAAUGUUGGACUUGUAAUGCUUCGAGAUUGGUAAUUGAAUGGUGACAGUAUGGUGACAAAGAGAGAUGUGUAUGUUUUAAUAUGAAUGGUAAAUGGUCUUCCACCUCAAACUUUGAAAAAGGCUUUGUGAACAUUGUUAAAAAAAAAAGUUUUAGCAUGUUAGUGGUUGUGAAAAACUGUACAAGCAUCAUAGUAAUCGAGAAAAUCUGUAAUCUAAUCAUUAUCUCUUGUUUUCCUGAAAUCUGAACCUUUCUUACUCUAUGAAAUUGUUGCAAAUAGAAACUCAGAUAUGACCUUUUUCAUGAAAUAAGGACUGAUUUUGUUUCACAUGAUUUACUCAACUGAGUUUUGCAUUUUUGGUGGAGAACUUUAUUAAACUGUUUUUGUGGAAAAGCAAUAAAAAAUAAUUAUUUUGUGGGGAAAAA